rnacentral:rRNA from 1 species
UACGAAGGGGGCUAGCGUUGUUCGGAAUCACUGGGCGUAAAGCGCACGUAGGCGGAUGUGCCAGUCAGGGGUGAAAUCCCGGAGCUCAACUUCGGAACUGCCUCUGAUACAGCACGUCUUGAGUCCGGAAGAGGUGGGUGGAAUUCCUAGUGUAGAGGUGAAAUUCGUAGAUAUUAGGAAGAACACCGGUGGCGAAGGCGGCCCACUGGUCCGGUACUGACGCUGAGGAGCGAAAGCGUGGGGAGCAAACAGG